rnacentral:misc_RNA from 1 species
GAUGAAGAACGUAGCGAAAUGCGAUACUUGGUGUGAAUUGCAGAAUCCCGUGAACCAUCGAGUCUUUGAACGCAAGUUGCGCCCGAAGCCAUUAGGCCGAGGGCACGCCUGCCUGGGCGUCACACGUCGUUGCCCCCCCAUCUACUCCUUCGGGAUUGCGGGGGGCGGAUGAUGGCCUCCCGUGCGCCUCGCCGCGCGGUUGGCAUAAAUGCCAAGUCCUCGGCGACGCACGCCACGACAAUCGGUGGUUGCGAAACCUCGGUUGCCCGUCGUGUGCGGUCGUCGCGCAUUGAGGGCUCGAAAAAAUUGCCGGGUUCCGGCUCGGCUUUCAACGCGACCCCAGGUCAGGCGGGGUUACCCGCUGAAUUUAAGCAUAUCAAUAAGCGGAGA